rnacentral:sRNA from 1 species
UCCAGGCAUGGUGGUGUGUGCCUGUAAUCCCAGCUACUGGGGAGGCUGAGGCAGGAGGAUCAUAAGUUUGAGGCCAACCUCCACAACUUAGUGAGACCCUGUCUCAA